ACAGAGGGUGCAAGCGUUAAUCGGAAUUGCUGGGCGUAAAGCGCACGUAGGCGGCUUGGUAAGUUGGGUGUGAAAUCCCCGAGCUUAACUUGGGAAUUGCAUUCAAGACUGCCUUGCUAGAGUGUGGGAGAGGGAAGCGGAAUUCCAGGUGUAGCGGUGAAAUGCGUAGAUAUCUGGAGGAACACCGGUGGCGGAGGCGGCAUCCUGGACCGAGAUUGACGCUGAUGCGCGAAAGCCAGGGGAGCAAACGGGA
rnacentral:rRNA from 1 species